rnacentral:piRNA from 1 species
UUCCAGUUACGAUGCACUAACUUAUGGU